GAGACAGCAGCUGCCGCGGUAAUACGGAGGGGGCUAGCGUUGUUCGGAUUUACUGGGCGUAAAGCGCACGUAGGCGGACUUUUAAGUCAGGGGUGAAAUCCCGGGGCUCAACCCCGGAACUGCCUUUGAUACUGGGAGUCUUGAGUUCGAGAGAGGUGAGUGGAAUUGCGAGUGUAGAGGUGAAAUUCGUAGAUAUUCGCAGGAACACCAGUGGCGGAGGCGGCUCACUGGCUCGAUACUGACGCUGAGGUGCGAAAGCGUGGGGAGCAAACAGGAUUAGAUACCCCGGUAGUCCCUGUCUCUUAUAC
rnacentral:rRNA from 1 species